rnacentral:rRNA from 1 species
GCUUGAGAGAACUCGGGUGAAGGAACUAGGCAAAAUGGUGCCGUAACUUCGGGAGAAGGCACGCUGGUGUGUAGGUGAAGUCCCUGCGGAUGGAGCUGAGACCAGUCGAAGAUACCAGCUGGCUGCAACUGUUUAUUAAAAACACAGCACUGUGCAAACACGAAAGUGGACGUAUACGGUGUGACGCCUGCCCGGUGCCGGAAGGUUAAUUGAUGGGGUUAUCCGUAAGGAGAAGCUCUUGAUCGAAGCCCCGGUAAACGGCGGCCGUAACUAUAACGGUCCUAAGGUAGCGAAAUUCCUUGUCGGGUAAGUUCCGACCUGCACGAAUGGCGUAAUGAUGGCCAGGCUGUCUCCACCCGAGACUCAGUGAAAUUGAACUCGCUGUGAAGAUGCAGUGUACCCGCGGCAAGACGGAAAGACCCCGUGAACCUUUACUAUAGCUUGACACUGAACAUUGAGCCUUGAUGUGUAGGAUAGGUGGGAGGCUUUGAAGCGUGGACGCCAGUCUGCGUGGAGCCAACCUUGAAAUACCACCCUUUAAUGUUUGAUGUUCUAACGUUGGCCCCUGACCGGGGUUGCGGACAGUGUCUGGUGGGUAGUUUGACUGGGGCGGUCUCCUCCCAAAGCGUAACGGAGGAGCACGAAGGUUAGCUAAUCCUGGUCGGACAUCAGGAGGUUAGUGCAAUGGCAUAAGCUAGCUUGACUGCGAGCGUGACGGCGCGAGCAGGUGCGAAAGCAGGUCAUAGUGAUCCGGUGGUUCUGAAUGGAAGGGCCAUCGCUCAACGGAUAAAAGGUACUCCGGGGAUAACAGGCUGAUACCGCCCAAGAGUUCAUAUCGACGGCGGUGUUUGGCACCUCGAUGUCGGCUCAUCACAUCCUGGGGCUGAAGUAGGUCCCAAGGGUAUGGCUGUUCGCCAUUUAAAGUGGUACGCGAGCUGGGUUUAGAACGUCGUGAGACAGUUCGGUCCCUAUCUGCCGUGGGCGCUGGAGAAUUGAGGGGGGCUGCUCCUAGUACGAGAGGACCGGAGUGGACGCAUCACUGGUGUUCGGGUUGUCAUGCCAAUGGCACUGCCCGGUAGCUAAAUGCGGAAGAGAUAAGUGCUGAAAGCAUCUAAGCACGAAACUUGCCCCGAGAUGAGUUCUCCCUGAGACUUUAAGUCUCCUGAAGGAACGUUGAAGACGACGACGUUGAUAGGCCGGGUGUGUAAGCGCAGCGAUGCGUUGAGCUAACCGGUACUAAUGAACCGUGAGGCUUAACCUUACAACGCCGAAG